rnacentral:tRNA from 1 species
GGGCUGGUAGCUCAGCCUGGACCAUGAAUAGCAUGGAGGCAAUAGAGUGCUUGGUUGGCAUUCAAGAUGCCCCGGGUUCAAAUCCCGGCCAGUCCA